rnacentral:rRNA from 1 species
UACGUAGGGGGCAAGCGUUGUUCGGAUUUACUGGGCGUAAAGGGCGCGUAGGCGGCGCGGUAAGUCACUUGUGAAAUCUCUGAGCUUAACUCAGAACGGCCAAGUGAUACUGCAGUGCUAGAGUGCGGAAGGGGCAAUCGGAAUUCUUGGUGUAGCGGUGAAAUGCGUAGAUAUCAAGAGGAACACCUGAGGUGAAGACGGGUUGCUGGGCUGACACUGACGCUGAGGCGCGAAAGCCAGGGGAGCAAACGGG